rnacentral:pre_miRNA from 1 species
UCUUAUGGAUGAGCAAAGAAAUUGGUUUCUUUAGAUGGAAUCUACUCCUGAUGAACAUGCUGUAAA